rnacentral:lncRNA from 1 species
GGGUAAGUUGGUUAGUAAUCCCGUUAGAUCUAGGAUUUGAGCCUGGGGAUGACCAUUCCAGAGGCUGAUUUCAUACUCACUGCCCUAUACCGGCGGGAAUAGCGGUCCUCACUGCCACCCAGGAAUAACCAUCCAGAAAUAAUGUGGCCUCCCCUCACUAUCCCACUGUAAAUUAGACCUCACCCCAACCUUCAUUGACGUGGUUCCUCCUGCCGACCGGGCAAGGGUUACAGGAUCCCCACAAUAAUCAGUGACUGCCACCUAGUGGCGCCGUGUGGAAUGCCACCUUUCUUUUCUCUCCCUUCUUCACCUGAUCCGGGGCUUCAACCACCAAAACCCAAAAUGCGAAAAGCUUGCUCCUUGCUCCUCUUUGGUUCAGCAUCCGGAAUAAGAACUACAGAGUCAGCCAGAGCUGCCCGGAAGGAGGAGGUCCUUCCUGACGCCCCGACUCGGAGAUGAACCUGGUCCUCUUACUGGGGAGAGCCCUGGAGAAGUUGCCGCCUUCUCUGCUGUUAUCAAGAGUUGGAGGAGCCAUGUGAUUUCCUGCGCAAGGACUGCAGACAACCGUGACUCAGUGAGAAGGGGCACAAUGCUCUCGUGGGGGAGUCACUCCCACGAGGAGUCCUCCUCUCGAGGAGGAGCCCUGACCUCCCCUGCUCUCCCACUCCACUCUUUCCCUCUCUGAAGCCUUGUGACUGUUCUUCCCUCCAUCCAGCCAGUUCAGGCCAAUCUUGAUCCAUUUCCUCCAGCCCCCCCCCAUAGCUGGGCCAUGAUAAGUCAACUGUCAUUCUUAUCACACAGCCAUAGCCUUCCAGUCCCGGUCAAGAUGAGACAAGAGAUCGGUGAAGCCCACUCCCCAAGGGGCCUUUAUAGAAAGGAUCCUGUAACCCAGUGGCUUUUCUAUCCCCCAGCCCAACCUCAUCAUAUUCUGCUUCCACUUUCCUGGACUCCUCUAGAUUCCCUAGGUCACAAUGGCCUUCUUCCCCAUCCCCUCAAUCCACAGGCUCCCACCUUGUACGGGAAUUGAGGAGCUAAUCUAAUUCCACUACAGAUGAGUUCUCUUUCCCACAAGGGCUGUGCUUCUUAAAUGUUGACUAAAUUUGAAAAUGGACUUUGUCACGUCAAAUAUUCUUCACCUUCGUUUCGUUUCGCUCUUUGGUUGGCAGAUGUUUCUUGCAGUCAAGCUUUACAAGUUCUCUGCCCAGAAUGACCUCCCAACCCUCACCUCUCCAAGUCAUCUGUUCAGCCAUUAACUCUUUCAUGCUUGCAGACAUAGAUGCAUGCACUUUAAGAAGACCAUUUGCUGAGCACUGGAUCAGGCACUGUUCUAGGCAUCGGGCCACAAAGACAUGUUCAUUAGUCUCAACGAGCUCACAGUGAAAAAGGAGAGAAAUGUGUCCUCAGAUGCUUAAAGUACAAUGUGAUAAAUGCUUUGAUAUGGACAUAUUUGUGGCUGUGUAAGCAAAGGACAGAUACCCAAAUUAAAUUCUUUUUAGCAAAAAAUGG